AGCAGCAGCUCGGUGUCCUUUCCCGUGCUGGCGUUUGAUCCCUGAAUAGGGGUUGCCCUUGGUGAAUUCGCUUUAUUUAUGUUGAAUCACGCAAAGGCAACUUCUGUUUGCGUAUCAAAUUCUGCCUGGGA
ensembl:miRNA